rnacentral:lncRNA from 1 species
CCCACGGCAGGUUUAAUUGAAAAUCUCUCUCAGCAAGGACCAUAGACUCGCUCGUUUCCCUCCCCUCUAUAUUUAGGGCAUCCAAAAUAAUAGGUCACAUGAGGCAUGUGAUUUUACCUUUUGGCGCUUUGGCUAACACUCGACUAGAAAUUGAAAUCAAGGGUAGUUUUGUAAUUUCAAAAAAAUAGGACAUCAUGUGAGGAUCAUGUGAUAGUAUUCC